rnacentral:rRNA from 1 species
GACGGGGCCCGGCACAAGCGGUGGAGCAUGUGGUUUAAUUCGAUGGUACGCGAGGAACCUUACCAGGGCUUGACAUACGCCGGAAGCGCAUCGAAAGGUGCGUGCCGCUUGCGGCCGGCGUACAGGUGCUGCAUGGCUGUCGUCAGCUCGUGCUGUGAAGUGUUGGGUUAAGUCCCGCAACGAGCGCAACCCCUGCUGCCUGUUGCCACCACGAGAGGUGGGGACUCAGGCGGGACCGCCGGUGACAAACCGGAGGAAGUGGGGACGACGUCAAGUCAUCAUGGCCCUUAUGUCCUGGGCUACACACGUGCUACAAUGGCCGGUACAGAGCGCAGCGAGGCCGCGAGGCGGAGCGAACCGCUUAAAGCCGGUCCCAGUACGGAUUGGAGUCUGCAACCCGACUCCAUGAAGUUGGAAUCGCUAGUAAUCGCGCAUCAGCAUGGCGCGGUGAAUACGUUCCCGGGCCUU